UUAUUUUUUGAGUUUUUUAAAAUAAUAUGUUCCCUACGCCUACAUUAAAGUAGAUUAACAUUAUAUAAUUUAGAUAAGAACAAGUUUUAUGUAGUUUUAAAGUAUUUUUACUUUAAUAGUUUACUAAAACAAGAAAAUGGGAGCUGCUGAAACUAAACUUGGAUUAAUUGAGAAGGAACCAUCUGACCAAGUUUCGUUUACAAUAAAUGGCAAACCUUUUACUGUGAAACCGGAUGGAGUUAAAAUUACAGCAACAACUACGUUAAACACAUUCAUCAGAAAUGUAGCUCAGUUAAAAGGAACGAAAUUAAUGUGUUUGGAAGGAGGUUGUGGAAGUUGUCUAGUCACAGCUGAAUUUGAACAUCCAAUAACCAAAAAAAUCACCAUUGCGGCGGUUAAUUCGUGCUUGGUUACAAUAUUAUCUUGUGAUGGUUGGAAAAUUACAACAAUUGAAGGGAUUGGCGGUAAAAAGAAGGGAUAUAAUGUAAUACAAAAACGUUUGGCCCAAUUUAACGGAACACAAUGUGGAUUUUGUACACCGGGUAUGGUUAUGAAUAUGUAUUCGCUAUAUCAGGCUGAAGGCAAUAGUUUAACACAAAAACAAGUUGAAAAUUCUUUUGGUGGAAAUAUAUGCAGAUGUACUGGUUAUCGAACAAUUGCUGAUGGGUUCAAAACAUUAACAGUGGAUGCAGAUAAAAAAUUAAUAGCUAAAUGUCAAGAUUUGGAAGAAUUGAGUAUUUGCUCAAAAACGGGAACAUAUUGUGCAAGAGAGUGUGAGAAAAAGAAUCCAAAUUGUAUUGAGCAGUCGGCACCUCAAAAAUAUAUUUAUAUUAAUACAGGGGAUGAGAAAUGGUAUAAAGUAUUUAAAUUAUCUGAAUUGCUUGAAGUGUUAAAAAGUAUUGGCAAUGAAAAGUACAUGCUUGUGGCUGGAAAUACCGCUAAUGGUGUACGUCGUCGUGAUCCUAAUAUUCCGGUUUAUAUUGAUGUAAACUCAGUAGAAGAACUUCAUACUUUGAGUAUUUCUGAUGCGGAGUUAAAAUUGGGCGCGAACACAUCCUUAACGGAAGCCAUGAAAUUAUUUAUAAAAAUUUCUAGUGAAAAACCUAAAUUUGGUUAUUUAAAAGAAGUUUAUGAUCAUUGGGAUCUUGUAGCAAAUGUACCUGUGCGAAAUAUGGGAACAAUUGCCGGAAAUUUAGCAUUAAAACAUGGCUACAAAAGAUUUCAAUCUGAUAUAUUUUUAACAUUGGAAACCUUUGGAGCCAAAUUAACUAUUGUUUCGAAAGAUGAUACUACGGAACAAAUCGUAUCACCUAAAGAAUUUCUAGGCUUGAAUAUGGAUGGUCGAGUUAUAGUCGGUAUCACUUUUUAUCCAUUAGUUGGAAAUUACGUAUUUCAAACUUACAAAAUUAUGCCACGAGCGCAGAAUACUCAUGCUAUUGUUAAUGCUGGAUUUUGUAUGAAGUUAGGAGACGAUAAAAAUAAAGUACUUGAAGCCACAAUUGUUUAUGGAGCAAUUAAUGUCGAUUUUGUUCACGCAAGUGAAACUGAAAAAUUACUUGUUGGCAAAAACUUAUAUGUUGACGCUACAAUCCAAGCUGUAUUUCAAAGUUUGGAAAAUGAAUUAAAAUGUGAUGUUGCACCUCCAGAUCCCGCUCCAGAAGCACGGAAACAACUUGCAAUUAAUCUUUUUUACAAGUUUAUCCUAAAUACUGCGCCAGAAAAUUUAGUUAAUCCAAUAUACUCGAGUGGAGGUCCCAAGUUUGAUAGACCUGUUUCAACAGGAGAACAAGACUACGCAUCUAAUCAAAAAACGUAUCCGUUAACACAACCGGUUUCGAAAGUUGAAGCUUUGGUGCAAUGUUCAGGGGAAGCAAAAUUUGUAGUUGACGUGGAUACAGCACGUGCAGAUUAUACAUUUUCAUCAUUAAUUUUGGCUCGAGCUGUUCCAGGAUCCAAAAUUAAAAAGAUUCAUACGGAUAAUGCCUUGAAUAUGCCAGGUGUCAUUGAUAUUGUACUCAGUAAAGAUGUCCCUGGUAGAAAUUCUUUUAAUGUACCUGAAUUACAAUAUACUUCAAAUAUGGAAAUAUUUUGUGAAGGCGAAGUUAAAUACAAUGGCCAAUUAGUUGGUUUAGCUAUCGCUGAAACGGAACAAAUUGCUCAACAAGCUGCAAAAUUAGUUUCUAUUGAAUACGAGGCACCUCCAAGUGACAGAAUAAAUACGUAUACAAUUCGUGAUGCCUUGAAAAUCCCAAAUAAUCCUAGAAUAACACUUGAAGGACAAAAAGAUUCAGCGAAUAAAGGUACGGACAUAAAGCAUGUAGUUACGGGAACAUUUGAUAUUGGACCGCAAUAUCACUUCACAAUGGAAACACAAUCAUGUAUUUGUAUACCUAUUGAAGAUGGAAUGGAUGUUUAUUCAUCCACACAAUGGAUGGACUAUGUCCAAACUGCAAUUGCAAAAUCAUGUGACAUGCCUUUAAAAAAUGUGAAUUUAAAUGUUCGUCGACUUGGCGGCGGCUAUGGUUCAAAGUUAUCUGCGGCUAGUUUAAUUGCAUGUGCAACAGCUGUUGCUGCAACAAAAUUAGAUCGUCCUGUAUAUUCGCGUAUGAUUAUGGAAGAUAACAUGGAAACAUUGGGUAAACGAUUUCCAUGUUCCGCCGAUUACGAAGCUGGAGUUGAUGAUAAUGGUAAAAUACAAUAUAUGAAAUUAUCGUUAUAUCUGAAUUAUGGAUGCGCAGCAAAUGAACCAACUGCAUCGGAUGUAAUGAAUACUGUUGCUAAUUAUUACGAUACAGAAACAUGGCAAAUUAAAGCAUAUGGAGUUUUAACUGAUAUUACACCAAAUACAUUCUGUCGAGCUCCUGGUACGACCGAAGGAAUUGCUCUUAUUGAAAGUAUAAUGGAACAUAUUGCUGUAAACGUGAAACAAGAUCCUGAAUUUGUACGAUUUCAAAAUACUAGUAAUGACAUAUUACCUAAUUUGGUAAUAGAUUUGAAGACUAAAACCAACAUUGAACUCAGAAAAAAGGAAAUUGUAGAAUUUAAUAAGGCAAAUCGGUGGAGGAAACGUGCAUUAGGUCAAGUAGUUAUGGAUUAUCAUUUGGUACCUUAUGGAACAUUUUAUGCGAUGGUGACGAUUUUUAUUAACGAUGGAACUGUUUGUGUAACACAUGGCGGUAUUGAAAUGGGACAAGGAAUCAAUACAAAAGUACAACAGGUAGCAGCCUACGAAUUAGGUAUUGACAUGAAUAUGAUACAAAUAAAACCGUCAAAUGUAAUAACAGCACCUAAUUGCGCAUCAACUGGAGGUAGCAUUGGUAGUGAAAGUGUUUGUUUUGCAACAAUACAAGCAUGUAAGAAAUUAUUAACGCGAUUGGAACCAGUAAAAAGAAAUAUGAAACAAUACGAUUGGGUUAAAAUGAUUCAAUUAAGUGGUCAAUUCGGAAUUGAUUUAUGUGCCGAAUAUCAAGUUACAACUCAAGAUUUAAAAGAUUAUAAAAUAUAUGGAGUUACAUAUUCCGAAGUUGAAGUUGAUGUUUUAACUGGUUUAGUACAAAUCAAGAGAGUAGACUUAUUAGAAGAUACUGGUGAAAGUAUGAGUCCAGAAAUUGAUAUUGGGCAAGUGGAAGGGGCAUUUAUGAUGGGAUUAGGUUAUUGGUUAAUGGAACAUAUUGAAUAUGAUGAAAGUGAUGGAAAAUUAUUAAAUACACGAACAUGGACAUAUCAUCCACCUGGUUUAAAGGAUAUACCAAUUGACUGGCGUAUUCAAUUUAGGAAAAAUGCACCAAAUCCUCUUGGUGUUCUACGAUCGAAAGCUACUGGAGAGCCACCUCUUUGCAUGAGUGUUUCCGUAGCGUUCGCUAUACGUAAUGCAUUACAUGAAGUACGGGCAGAAAAUGCUCCCAAUGUAGAUCCUUGGUUUCCACUUGAUGGACCAACAUCAACCAGCAGUAUUUUAUUGAAUUCCAAGUUAAAUUACAAAAAUUUUAAAAUAAAAUGAUUUCUAGCAUUCAAUCACCAAAGCAAUGAAAGAGUCAUUACUUGAUAAAUUAGAUUUGGUUAUGACGUCAACAAGUGUUAUUUUACUUUGUUUCUAUUCGCACCGUGCGUGAGUUUUAUUGGAGGCCUUUCCA